GACAGGGUCUCCCUCUGUUGUCCAAGGCUGGAGUGUAGUAGUGCUAUCGCAGCUGACUGCAGCCUCAACCUUCCAGGCUGAAGCGAUCCUCCCACCUCAACCUCCCACGUGGCUGAGACUACAGGUGCUUGCCACUAUGCCCAACUAACAUUUGGAAUUUUCGUAUACGUGGAUUCUAGAGGGGUGACAGCGAAACCUGCAGGACAAGUUCGAGCAUCUUAAAAUGAUUCAACAGGAGGAGAUAAGGAAGCUCGAGGAAGAGAAAAAACAACUGGAAGGAGAAAUCAUAGAUUUUUAUAAAAUGAAAGCUGCCUCUGAAGCACUGCAGACUCAGCUGAGCACCGAUACAAAGAAAGACAAACAUCCUGAUCCAUAUGAAUUCCUCUUAUUAAGAAAAAUAAAGCAUCCAGGAUUCAAUGAAGAACUGACUAUCACCUUGUUAAUCAUUCAGAAACAUGUUGCAGGCUUAAGCCAUUUUUGAUAUAGAUACUGAAACAAUUACUUGCUAAGAGCAAACUUGAAGGUAUGGAUAAGGCCCUGAGUCAUCUUCCUGAGCUGAAUGAUAGUUAAGCUGAAUUAACAAUUUGGACAAGACAGCAAAUGCUAUUGUCCAAGUUUUCUAAAGAAGAAUCUGAAGUGAAAUGACAUCAAGAGACCUAUCAAGACCUGUAUCCAGGAAAAGACCAAACCAAUGCACAACUCCUACGUACUGAUGGUGGUCUUACGUUUCCCUAAGUUUCUGCCGACUAAACUGUGCACACGUUCUCAGGACCUCCUGAAGCUGCGUCACAGGCGCUGAUCAAAGAACACAACCAAGAGUUUGGCCUUUUCUUCAGCACUGGGAAUUGUGAUCCAAAGCUUUUCCUGAUGAGGCACAAAGUUGGAGAAACAAAACGCAAACUAAGCAACAAUGAAACAGAACAGAGUGAAUCUGCUGUAGCUCAAGAGAGGACGUAGCUGCCCCCACCCCGCAUCCCCGGGCUCGGGUUUGCCUUGCUGACCUCUGCUGCCACCUGGUGCCGCACAGAGAAACUGAGGAGAAACCACAUCAGUCUCCUUCAGCCUCAGCUUCACAUCUGUGGGUCAAGCAACCCUUUCAGAAGCUGAAUAAUGUGGGAAAGCUUUCCUCUCAGGAAAAUGCACACAUCCAACUUUGAGA
rnacentral:lncRNA from 1 species